CAUAAGGGAUUCUUACAGCGCGUAAAAUCUCCGUUUCUACCAGACGGUGUUCAUUUCAAUCGUAGAGCGCAAUACACGCUGUAUCGCAGUUAUCGCGGUGCUAUUCUUAAAGCUUUAGCAAGCCUUCCUAGUUGUUAGUCUCCAGAUGGUCUUGAUACGCGGAAAAGUACUGGCACUAGUUGUCAAAUAGAAAUCCAUUUUAUGAUUAAAACAACUGAAUAUCUCCUGUAAUAUACUUUAUUUCGAUUCCAUAUUUUUGUCAGAGCUAGAGUUCUCAUAACCAAACAUAAUUACAAAAUUUCAACUAGUUUCAUAAAGAAUAACGAAAGAUGUAAUUGACUGAAUACAUCAAAAUGGAUUUCUAUUCGGACAACCCUUUCUGAGCGCUGAUUGGCUAAAAUACGAACACGAGAUCACCUGGCUGUUAU